CGCCGCGUGAGGGAUGACGGCCUUCGGGUUGUAAACCUCUUUUAGCAGGGAAGAAGCGAAAGUGACGGUACCUGCAGAAAAAGCGCCGGCUAACUACGUGCCAGCAGCCGCGGUAAUACGUAGGGCGCAAGCGUUAUCCGGAAUUAUUGGGCGUAAAGAGCUCGUAGGCGGUUUGUCGCGUCUGCUGUGAAAACCCGAGGCUCAACCUCGGGCCUGCAGUGGGUACGGGCAGACUAGAGUGCGGUAGGGGAGAUUGGAAUUCCUGGUGUAGCGGUGGAAUGCGCAGAUAUCAGGAGGAACACCGAUGGCGAAGGCAGAUCUCUGGGCCGUUACUGACGCUGAGGAGCGAAAGGGUGGGGAGCAAACAGGCUUAGAUACCCUGGUAGUCCACCCCGUAAACGUUGGGAACUAGUUGUGGGGGCCUUUCCACGGUCUCCGUGACGCAGCUAACGCAUUAAGUUCCCCGCCUGGGGAGUACGGCCGCAAGGCUAAAACUCAAAGGAAUUGACGGGGACCCGCACAAGCGGCGGAGCAUGCGGAUUAAUUCGAUGCAACGCGAAGAACCUUACCAAGGCUUGACAUACACCGGAAACGUCUGGAAACAGUCGCCCCUUUUUGGUCGGUGUACAGGUGGUGCAUGGUUGUCGUCAGCUCGUGUCGUGAGAUGUUGGGUUAAGUCCCGCAACGAGCGCAACCCUCGUUCUAUGUUGCCAGCACGUUAUGGUGGGAACUCAUGGGAUACUGCCGGGGUCAACUCGGAGGAAGGUGGGGAUGACGUCAAAUCAUCAUGCCCCUUAUGUCUUGGGCUUCACGCAUGCUACAAUGGCCGGUACAAAGGGCUGCAAUACCGUGAGGUGGAGCGAAUCCCAAAAAGCCGGUCCCAGUUCGGAUUGAGGUCUGCAACUCGACCUCAUGAAGUCGGAGUCGCUAGUAAUCGCAGAUCA
rnacentral:rRNA from 1 species